rnacentral:rRNA from 1 species
ACGCUGGCGGCGUGCUUAACACAUGCAAGUCGAACGCUGAAGCCCAGCUUGCUGGGUGGAUGAGUGGCGAACGGGUGAGUAACACGUGAGUAACCUGCCCCCUUCUUUGGGAUAACGCCCGGAAACGGGUGCUAAUACUGGAUAUUCACUGGCCUUCGCAUGGGGGUUGGUGGAAAGGUUUUUUCUGGUGGGGGAUGGGCUCGCGGCCUAUCAGCUUGUUGGUGGGGUGAUGGCCUACCAAGGCUUUGACGGGUAGCCGGCCUGAGAGGGUGACCGGUCACAUUGGGACUGAGAUACGGCCCAGACUCCUACGGGAGGCAGCAGUGGGGAAUAUUGCACAAUGGGCGAAAGCCUGAUGCAGCGACGCCGCGUGAGGGAUGACGGCCUUCGGGUUGUAAACCUCUUUCGCUCAUGGUCAAGCCGCAACAGUGGUUGUGGUGAGGGUAGUGGGUAAAGAAGCGCCGGCUAACUACGUGCCAGCAGCCGCGGUAAUACGUAGGGCGCGAGCGUUGUCCGGAAUUAUUGGGCGUAAAGGGCUUGUAGGCGGUUGGUCGCGUCUGCCGUGAAAUCCUCUGGCUUAACUGGGGGCGUGCGGUGGGUACGGGCUGACUUGAGUGCGGUAGGGGAGACUGGAACUCCUGGUGUAGCGGUGGAAUGCGCAGAUAUCAGGAAGAACACCGGUGGCGAAGGCGGGUCUCUGGGCCGUUACUGACGCUGAGGAGCGAAAGCGUGGGGAGCGAACAGGAUUAGAUACCCUGGUAGUCCACGCUGUAAACGUUGGGCACUAGGUGUGGGGGCCACCCGUGGUUUCUGCGCCGUAGCUAACGCUUUAAGUGCCCCGCCUGGGGAGUACGGCCGCAAGGCUAAAACUCAAAGGAAUUGACGGGGGCCCGCACAAGCGGCGG